AGAUAUUUUUGAAGUUUAUUAUCUCAUCCUAAAGUAUACACUCAAGAAAUAUUUAUGUCAAAAAAGCUUGAUGAACUAAUUAACGUUAUUGCUCUUGAUGGUUAACCAUGAAUUAAUGAGAAAACCAAGAAAUAAGGCACAAAAAAGUCAACUAUUAUCAAUCAUUCAUCUUUCCUGAUUCAUUCUGGUAGUUCAGCUUGAUCUCAUGGGAUUCACUUGUUUUGACCUCGUUUUUUGGGUUCAUUUUUACUUUUUCUUCUCUCUUUCCCUGGCUCUAUGCAAAUAGUGUGAUGAAAAAAAGGUCAAAUUUAUUAUUGAAAAAAAGCUGGUUUCUGGUGAAAUGUGAACAUUGGAAAUGGUUUUAAAAACGAGUUCAACUUUCAACAUUGUCUGAUUCAGCUGAAGUGUGAUAAACGGUGUAUUAAGCUGUUGAUUUAAACUUGGAUAAGCUUGAAUCGAAACAUAGAUGUGGUUUGAAAUUUGAUUUUGUUCAUUUCCAAGGAUCGCCUCACAAGUUUCAACUAUUGCAACUAGAGAAGGAAUUCUCAUGCCAUCAACUGAUAAACACUGGAAUAAAGACCAAUCAUAAGUCAAUCGUUCCAGUUUAAAAGAACUAUUUCUCAUUCCCGUAAACUUAUAUUCAAAUACAAAAUUCAUUUCCAAUCAACUGAUUGGUUCGAAGUUUUCUUCUCUAAAUUUGUCGAUGAAUUUUAAAAGAUUGAUUUUGAUGGAACGCAAUGAAAUGUUUACAACAACAAACAUCAAUGGAUUAAGCGAAAUGUCUCAAUUAUCGGACUUGUUCCUGUUAAUAUUAUAAGUAAACCUGAAGCUUAUUUUCCAGCUAACAGUCUACCAGAAUAAUAGCCAUGAAAAUGAUGGUGAUGAUAAUAAUUGAAUUUUGUUCAAUAUUUGAUCAACUCAUUAUUUCCAGUUGAACCUUAGUAAACAUGAAUCUGAAAGUAAUUCACUUUGACUCGCAAACCUCCUACACCUUGCCUCUCCUCCUUUACUCAUCCAUCAUCGUCAUUAAAAAUGAAAGUUGAACUGGAACAAGAAAAGAGAAUCGGAAAUUGUCUCUACAGGAAAUUGACUGACUGAGAGUGAAAAAUAAUAUCACUGCACAGUUUACUUACCUUGAUGCAAAAAAAUAAUGAAAAGGGCAAGGUAACAGCAAUAAUGGCCAACGAGAGGAACUUAAGCAUUAUCGCACAAAUCCUUGUGUCCUCUACGAUGUCUGCAGAAACAAGGUAUGCUAGGAGUAAGAAUAACAUUAAAACGUCAAACAUUGACAACAUUGACAUUAUUAUGGCUUAAUAUUGAUUAUGUUUAAAUUGGAAUGGAUUGUAAAACAGAAUCAGGUUUGAACGUCUUUUUGUUGGGGGUAAACUUGAUUCUAAAAAUGAAAGUAAAAUGUUCAACAAAACCAAACAAAUUGUAUUAAAAUUUACAUUUAUCAAAACACUAAA